GACGAACGCUGGCGGCGUGCCUAAUACAUGCAAGUCGAGCGAAUGAAUGGGAGCUUGCUCCUGUUCGUUAGCGGCGGACGGGUGAGUAACACGUGGGCAACCUGCCUGUAAGACUGGGAUAACUUCGGGAAACCGGAGCUAAUACCGGAUAGUUUUUCUCUUCUCAUGAAGGGAAAUGGAAAGACGGUUUCGGCAGGCACUUACAGAUGGGCCCGCGGCGCAUUAGCUAGUUGGUGAGGUAACGGCUCACCAAGGCGACGAUGCGUAGCCGACCUGAGAGGGUGAUCGGCCACACUGGGACUGAGACACGGCCCAGACUCCUACGGGAGGCAGCAGUAGGGAAUCUUCCGCAAUGGACGAAAGUCUGACGGAGCAACGCCGCGUGAGUGAAGAAGGUUUUCGGAUCGUAAAACUCUGUUGUCAGGGAAGAACAAGUGCCAGAGUAACUGCUGGUACCUUGACGGUACCUGACCAGAAAGCCACGGCUAACUACGUGCCAGCCGCCGCCGUAAGAC
rnacentral:rRNA from 1 species